UCUUUACUGCUUCAAAUUCUUGCAGGUCAUUGGCAGUUGCACUUCCAGUUUCCUCUACAUGAGCUGGUGAUUUAGUUGGCAGGGAAGGCAAUGAAGCAGCUGAUGGAUCUUCUUUUCGAACAACUAGAGGAUCUUCUUUUCGUACUGGUGGAGCAGCAAAAACUGGAACAGCUUGCCUAACACAAACUGGUGGGGCAAUUCGCAUGUGUGGAGCCCGAAUCACCUGAGGGGGUAGCCCAGAAGGUGGUGCAGAGAAAACAGGAACAGCAUUCCUUAUUGUCACUGGUGGUGCAAUCCCAUGAUAAGGUGUCCUAAACUGCCGGAUAGGAACAUAAGGAACUGCCCCUGCUGCAGGGAAUCUCUGGGGGCGGACUGCACGAACGUCCAGUGCUAGAGGCUGUGAUGGUGGCACUGGGUUCUCACUUGAUGUUGUUGACGUGGGUCUGCUUCGUGGCUGUGAUGAUGGCAUAGAACCAUCAUUUGCAGUUGGUGAUGGAGGUCUGUUUCGAGGAGGUGUCUUUUGGCAGAUUAAAGGGAGAAUUUUUGAUGUGGCAACAGGAGGCAGCUGAGGACUAAACAAUCUUGAAUUCUGAAUUGGAAAUUUCUUUGGGAAAGACAACGUGCCACUAGGGGAGUUUGCUAUUGCC
rnacentral:lncRNA from 1 species